rnacentral:rRNA from 1 species
GACGAACGCUGGCGGCGCGCUUAACACAUGCAAGUCGAACGGAAAGGCCUGCUUUCCCUUGUGGUUUGCGGGUACUCGAGUGGCGAACGGGUGAGUAACACGCGAGUGAUUUGCCCCUAACUCGGGUAUAAGCCUGGGAAACCGGGUCUAAUUCCCGAUAGGACUGCAGGGUGGGGCCUGUGGUGGUAAAUGAGUUUUUAGUGCUCGGGGUUGAGCCCGCGGCCUAUCAGCUUGUUGGUGGGGUAAUGGCCCACCAAGGCGGCGACGGGUAGCCGGCGUGUGGGGGUCGACAGCGGCAGUGGGACUGAGUUACGACCCAGACUCGUACGGGAGGCAGCAGUGGGGCAGAAUGGGGAAAGAGCGGAAGCCUGGUGCAGCGACGCCGCGUGGAGGAUGACGGGCUUCGGGUGGUAUUCUCCUUGCGACCGCGAGUCAGCCAUGUGGAUGGACGUGUGGUGACGGUAGUGGUAGAAGAAGCACCGGCUAACUACGUG